rnacentral:rRNA from 1 species
CAACAACACCUAAAAUGUGGAAUAUAGCAUAUAGUCGACAAGAGAAAUCUACGAAAAACAAACAAAACUUUCAACAACGGAUCUCUUGGUUCUCGCAUCGAUGAAGAGCGCAGCGAAAUGCGAUACCUAGUGUGAAUUGCAGCCAUCGUGAAUCAUCGAGUUCUUGAACGCACAUUGCGCCCCUCGGCAUUCCGGGGGGCAUGCCUGUUUGAGCGUCGUUUCCAUCUUGCGCGUGCGCAGAGUUGGGGGAGCGGAGCGGACGACGUGUAAAGAGCGUCGGAGCUGCGACUCGCCUGAAAGGGAGCGAAGCUGGCCGAGCGAACUAGACUUUUUUUCAGGGACGCUUGGCGGCCGAGAGCGAGUGUUGCGAGACAACAAAAAGCUCGACCUCAAAUCAGGUAGGAAUACCCGCUGAACUUAAGCAUAUCAAUAAGCGGAG